UUCAAAAAUCAAAGAUUGCAUUCACUCUCCCUCAACUGACCUGGAUAAGUUUCUCAAAAAAAAUGAUGUCGGUUGAUUGAUAUUCAUAAAGGAGUCUGACCUGAAGAGCUCUUGACGCAAAAUGCUUGUGCAAGACGCUC
ensembl:ncRNA C10F3.10 ncRNA